rnacentral:rRNA from 1 species
AUUGAACGCUGGCGGCAUGCCUAACACAUGCAAGUCGAACGAGAUCUUCGGGUCUAGUGGCGCACGGGUGCGUAACGCGUGGGAAUCUGCCCUUUGGUUCGGAAUAACAGUUGGAAACGACUGCUAAUACCGGAUGAUGACGAAAGUCCAAAGAUUUAUCGCCAGAGGAUGAGCCCGCGUAGGAUUAGCUAGUUGGUGUGGUAAAGGCGCACCAAGGCGACGAUCCUUAGCUGGUCUGAGAGGAUGAUCAGCCACACUGGGACUGAGACACGGCCCAGACUCCUACGGGAGGCAGCAGUGGGGAAUAUUGGACAAUGGGCGAAAGCCUGAUCCAGCAAUGCCGCGUGAGUGAUGAAGGCCUUAGGGUUGUAAAGCUCUUUUACCCGGGAUGAUAAUGACAGUACCGGGAGAAUAAGCUCCGGCUAACUCCGUGCCAGCAGCCGCCGUAA